GGCAUUGUCAGCAGCUCUCGCUCGAUUCCUCCCAAGGGCCUGAAAUCUCCUCACCAUGCUCUGGGUUCCCCUCAUUGUCCUACUGGGGACGUGGUGCACAGGUUCCAGCUCACAGCCUGUGGUAACUCAGCCGCCCUCGGCGUCAGUGUCCCCAGGAAACACCGUGAAACUCUCCUGCACCAUGAGCAGUGGGACCAGCAUCAGUGGCUAUGCUGUCUCCUGGUACCAGCAAAAACCUGGGAAUUCUCCACGAUACCUGCUGUAUUACUAUUCGGAUUCCAGCAAGGGCCAGGGCUCUGGGGUCCCUGCUCGCUUCUCUGGUUCCAAAGACACGUCCAGUAACGUCGCCUAUCUGACCAUCUCCGGGGUCCUGGCAGAGGAUGAGGCUGAUUAUUACUGUGUGGUGUGGAGUGGGAGUGCUCCUCACUUCGGUGCAGGAGCUGGGACUAGAACUGCAGAUUUCCCGGCUCCAAGUCCUGUCCCCUGA